rnacentral:rRNA from 1 species
UACGUAGGGUGCGAGCGUUAAUCGGAAUUACUGGGCGUAAAGCGUGCGCAGGCGGUUUUGUAAGCCAGAUGUGAAAGCCCCGGGCUUAACCUGGGAAUGGCAUUUGGGACUGCAAGGCUUGAGUGCGGCAGAGGAGACUGGAAUUCCUGGUGUAGCAGUGAAAUGCGUAGAUAUCAGGAGGAAUACCGAUGGCGAAGGCAGGUCUCUGGGCUGGCACUGACGCUCAUGCACGAAAGCGUGGGGAGCAAACAGG